UAGCUACAGGCUUAACACAUGCAAGUCGAGGGGCAGCAUGGUCUUAGCUUGCUAAGGCCGAUGGCGACCGGCGCACGGGUGAGUAACACGUAUCCAACCUGCCGUCUACUCUUGGACAGCCUUCUGAAAGGAAGGUUAAUACAAGAUGGCAUCAUGAGUCCGCAUGUUCACAUGAUUAAAGGUAUUCCGGUAGACGAUGGGGAUGCGUUCCAUUAGAUAGUAGGCGGGGUAACGGCCCACCUAGUCUUCGAUGGAUAGGGGUUCUGAGAGGAAGGUCCCCCACAUUGGAACUGAGACACGGUCCAAACUCCUACGGGAGGCAGCAGUGAGGAAUAUUGGUCAAUGGGCGAGAGCCUGAACCAGCCAAGUAGCGUGAAGGAUGACUGCCCUAUGGGUUGUAAACUUCUUUUAUAAAGGAAUAAAGUCGGGUAUGGAUACCCGUUUGCAUGUACUUUAUGAAUAAGGAUCGGCUAACUCCGUGCCAGCAGCCGCGGUAAUACGGAGGAUCCGGGCGUUAUCCGGAUUUAUUGGGUUUAAAGGGAGCGUAGAUGGAUGUUUAAGUCAGUUGUGAAAGUUUGCGGCUCAACCGUAAAAUUGCAGUUGAUACUGGAUAUCUUGAGUGCAGUCGAGGCAGGCGGAAUUCGUGGUGUAGCGGUGAAAUGCUUAGAUAUCACGAAGAACUCCGAUUGCGAAGGCAGCCUGCUAAGCUGCAACUGACAUUGAGGCUCGAAAGUGUGGGUAUCAAACAGGAUUAGAUACCCUGGUAGUCCACACGGUAAACGAUGAAUACUCGCUGUUUGCGAUAUACUGCAAGCGGCCAAGCGAAAGCGUUAAGUAUUCCACCUGGGGAGUACGCCGGCAACGGUGAAACUCAAAGGAAUUGACGGGGGCCCGCACAAGCGGAGGAACAUGUGGUUUAAUUCGAUGAUACGCGAGGAACCUUACCCGGGCUUAAAUUGCAGAUGAAUUACGGUGAAAGCCGUAAGCCGCAAGGCAUCUGUGAAGGUGCUGCAUGGUUGUCGUCAGCUCGUGCCGUGAGGUGUCGGCUUAAGUGUCAUAACGAGCGCAACCCUUGUUGUCAGUUACUAACAGGUUCCGCUGAGGACUCUGACAAGACUGCCAUCGUAAGAUGUGAGGAAGGUGGGGAUGACGUCAAAUCAGCACGGCCCUUACGUCCGGGGCUACACACGUGUUACAAUGGGGGGUACAGAGGGCCGCUACCACGCGAGUGGAUGCCAAUCCCCAAAACCUCUCUCAGUUCGGACUGGAGUCUGCAACCCGACUCCACGAAGCUGGAUUCGCUAGUAAUCGCGCAUCAGCCACGGCGCGGUGAAUACGUUCCCGGGCCUUGUACACACCGCCCGUCAAGCCAUGGGAGCCGGGGGUACCUGAAGUGCGUAACCGCGAGGAGCGCCCUAGGGUAAAACUGGUGACUGGGGCUAAGUCG
rnacentral:rRNA from 1 species